CUCUGUAUGUCAUUGGGGAUUAGCAGCUGGGGCCAGGCCAGCUCGGCAGCGCCUGGCAAUCCGCUGCGCACGGCCGCACGCAGAGGCAGAGAGACCAAAAAUAAACAACGAGGGGACGGACCUUGAGUUAUUUUUUUCUGGUCUAAUGAGCCUCCCACCCCCUUUCUAGCCUGGGCGGGAAGAAGGCGAAGAACCGUCCCCCGGGCCUCUGCGGGCGCUAGGACUUCCUGGAGCGACGCCGGGCGUCUGGGAAGAGCCGCUGGGAGCCUUCACCUGCUCGGAGGAGCUGCGGGGCGCCGGGGCACCAUGAAGGAUCGGCUGGAGCAGCUCAAAGCCAAGCAGGACCAGGAUGACGAUGCUGAUGAUGUGGAGAUUGCCAUCGAGAACACGGGGUUCAUGGACGAGUUCUUCUCCGAGAUUGAAGAAACCCGACAAAAUAUCGAGAAAAUUGCAGAGAAUGUGGAGGGGGCAAAAAAGCUGUACAGUAUCAUCCUGUCCGCCCCCAUCCCUGAGCAAAAGACGAAAGAUGACCUGGAGCAGCUCACGGCAGAGAUAAAAAAAAUAGCCAACAGUGUCCGAAACAAGCUUAAGAGCAUGGAGCGGAGCAUUGAGCAGGAUGAGGUCCAGUCGUCAGCGGAUCUGCGGAUACGGAAAUCCCAGCAUUCUGUCCUUUCCCGGAAGUUUGUCGAUGUGAUGACCAAGUACAACGAGGCACAGGUCGACUUCCGAGAACGUAGCAAAGGGCGGAUCCAGCGGCAGCUCGAGAUCACUGGGAAGAAUACAACGGAUGAGGAGCUGGAGGAGAUGCUAGAGAGUGGAAACCCCUCGAUAUUCACAUCUGGGAUCAUGGAUUCGCAGAUCUCAAAGCAGGCACUGAGCGAGAUCGAGGGGCGGCACAAGGACAUUGUGCGGCUUGAGAGCAGCAUCAAGGAGCUUCACGACAUGUUUGUGGACAUCGCCAUGCUGGUGGAAAACCAGGGCGGGGUCCUAGAUAACAUAGAGCUGAACAUGAUGCAUGCGGUAGACCACAUAGAGAAAGCGCGCGAUGAGACCAAAAAGGCUCUGGUAUACAAGAAAAAGGCACACAAGGGAGCCAUGAUCGACCGCAUAGAGACCAACAUGGACCAGUCGGUGGGCUUUGUGGAACGGGCCGUGGCUGACACCAAAAAGGCUGUGAAAUACCAGAGCGAGGCCAGAAGGCCUUCUCCUCCUCCCUCACUUGUCCCCCACAGCCCGGACACUGAGCCCCUCCACGUACGACGUGCCAUGCUGCAUCCCUCUUCGAGAAAAUGAUAAUUAUCAUUGUGGUAGUGGUUGUCUUGCUCGCAAUAGUAGCUCUGAUUAUUGGACUUUCCGUAGGGCUCAAGUAAAGCUAGCCCCCAGGGUUGCUGGCUCCAAACUACACUCCUGAUCUUGGUGGUGAGCUUUUUCCCUCGUGAUCCUCCCGCUCCCCCUGCCUUCCCUGGACCUGCUAAUCGCAGCCUGCCCUCUGGGCUCUGCUGUGAAUCAUUUCCCUUUUGGGUGGAGCUUUUCCCAAUAGCACUUCUUGGGAGAACUGCCAGCCCAUUCAUCAGCUAGCUGAUGCAUCCCUCCUGGAGGAUCUGAGCUUGCUUCGCCAUGUCCAGGAGGUAACGGUCUCCUGCACCACUGAUGCACUUGAGAGAAGCCGCCAUCAAGCCUUCCUUUCUCCCCUCCUCUCCGAGUCCACAACCACCAACCCCAGUUCCUCCUCCUGAUGUCAUUUUGGUCAGAUUUCGUUUCCUGGCGGGAGUCUCACCGAUGGUAGCAGAGCCUUAAAGGAAUGUCCAGGACUGUGUUUCCUACCUCACUGGCCUGUCUUGUUUUCAUCUUUCUUAGGGGGAAUUUUAAUUGUUUGAAAUCUUUAUUGAGGGAGGCCAGGGAAUGUAAGAACUACCCCUCUGAAUUGCUCCAGCCAGGACAGGGAGUGAGAUAUCAGGGCUCGGGAGCUCACCUGGGUCGGCCGUGUGGCAUAUUGGACACUAACUGAGGCUGGACUCUGCAGUGCUCCCAGGACCUGCCAACCCCAAGGAGAGUGAGCAGAUAGGCCUGAUCUUGAAUCUCCUGUGUAGCAAUGCACUAAACCUAUGGCACCGGAAUCCGCAGCACUCCCAAGCUGCUUUGACACCAGGAUUAACAAGGGACGUUGGUCAAAUCAACAGGGACAGACUUGGCAGCAGUCCUCAACUUUGCCAACCCCAGAAUUAGGGACGGGAUGUGGAAGCAAAGCAGAGCAGGAUAUGCGGACACUGACCUCAGUGCACUAGGUGGGACGGGUAACAGGGCUGGGACUGAAACGUGGGUCUGUGGCGGAGUACCGGGACGCAUGAGCACUCUGAGCUCAGUGCAGAGUAAAAGCCCAGCGGAGCAUGGGCUGCUUCUCUUAAUCCCUUCCUGAGGGGCGGGUGCCUGUGUACAGAAGGAGUUGCCUUCAAGCCCUGUCUCGUGUGAUCCCUGUUUGCUAAGAACUGGGAGGAAUCGAAACCUCUGUUUGCUUUGAAGUGUGAACCUUUGCGACUGGAGUUUCCACCUACUUAUUUGUUCUAAGCACAAAAAUAAUCCGAUUGGCUUCUGGCACCCAACCCAAAGCCCAGGCUCUGAUACUCCCUGUGGUUGGUUUGCAGGGCUGGGGCUCUUGGAAACUUUAGGUUGGGUGACAUAUUCUGUUAAAUAGUGAUCAGUGACUCCUGGGCUGCAAAUCUUAGCACUGACCUUGUCUGAUCCUUGCUGGGGGCUUCUCCUUUGGUUAUGGGACCAGUGGGUAUAGCUGCCCACCUCUGAUGGGGAUAUAAUUUUAGUGUGUGUGUGUCUGCAUGUAUGUUUAAUGGUCUGUUUACUCAGGGCUAGUUGAGUUUUCAUGGAUGUUGUUUUAAAUGUGUCUGGAUCAGGAGUCCUUGUGUGUAUUUAUUACUCUUACCAGCCAGUCCCUGAAUGUCUGCAUUUGUCACAGAAAUCAGGGUGGCCUGUUUUUACUGGUGUGAUGUGGGUUUGGGUGUGAUCCACCCGAGUCGGGCAUGACCAACAGCUGCAUGACAGCCGUUUGGUGGCCUUGGUGGGAAAGGGGGAUUAAGGUCUUGGGGCCCCAUUCCCAGUGGACAAAUCUCUGGAUCGCAGAAAUGCCAUUACACCAAUCGGGCUCUCUGCUUGGAAGCCUCAAUAGAGAAGCUAAGGACUGAAUCAGUGGUGAUUUUCCCAGGGCAGAGGGAUGGGGGAAGCCUACCUAUGUUGUGCCUGCUUGGAGGAUAAACAGGGCCCAAGAGCUAUACUAAAUUCACUUGACAAAUGUCCUCUCCCCUUGUUGAAAGAUAAGGGGUGACAGCCCUUAUUAGUCAGGAUGGGGGAUUCUUGUCCGUGAAGGGAGCUAAACUCCCUGCCCUAGCAGCAUCUGGCUGGUCCAGGUGCACACUUCCACCCCCACCAUCCUUCCUGAUGUGCUAGAGGCUGCACAUCUUAGACCCACUUAGCACUCACCAGCUUGAUGCCCCAUGACCCACUCUCCUGAUGUAGGACUGCACUUGGCCAUUACCCUUUGGUGAACAGACGGAGCUGGGAGGAAGUUCCCAUUUGUCGUCUUCUCCUCUAGGUCUUGAUGUCUGUGAUUUUCUAGAUAGUGGGUAUGGAGCAUGCUGCCUGGGCAGGGUUGCCAUUGCAGCCCUGAGAUGCCCCUGAAACUCCCCAAAGCUCUGUAGACGGGAAAUGUCAUUGUUUCACCAAGUGAGGGUAUUGGCUUGUGUCUUUUUUUUUUUUUUACUUUGAUUUAUUUUUAAUUUAAAAAAGUAAAUAAAUGAAUUUACAUUUGAUCACGAACAGCUCUCGCCUGCGUUGUGUUCCCUGCAUGAGCCGCCACUGCCUAAAUGCAACAUCCAGCUAUAGUUACCCUAGCUGUUCUUGGCUGGUUUGAGGCUGGGAGGCAGGGGUGCUAUCUCCUUGGCUUGCAUCCCUCAUGGUAGAAAAAGACAGGACUUGGCUGGAAUGAAUGGCAGUAAUAAUUCAUAACUAGCUCAGGUCCUCAGUAGGUUUCAAAACGAGGUCAGUAUCACUACUCACAUUUUACAGAUGAGGAAAUUGAGGCACAGAUAGGGGAAGUGACUUGCCCAGUGGUUGAGCCUGGAAUAGAGCCUAGGGCUCCUGAGUCCCAGUCCAGUGCUCUAGCCACUAGGCCACCCUCCUCCCAGUGUAAAGGAGACUUUAUUAGCAGGGCUGCCAGACGUGGACAGAUGCCGUGGUUCUCUCUGGCUCACCAGCUCCCAACCUGAGUAAUGCAGCCUGUGCUGCCCAAUGCACCGCGCAGGGGCCAAGUCCUGGCCUAGAAGAGACUGCUCCAUGCAAACAUUGGGAUACACCAGUUCAGAAUGCUCCUGGCUGGAAUCUGUUGCUCUGCUCAGCCUCAGCCCUGCCCCAAUUAUCCAACCCACGGCAAGAGUCAAGGCUGAGUAAAGCAACAGAUGGGGAAAGGCAGUAGAUACAGUGACCUGCCCAACGAAGGGUUAAUGAUAGCACCAUUUGGAAUUAAAUAGCCUCACAACAGCAGCACUGCCUUGGGGAUGAGACUGGGACUUUGAGCCUCCAGCGCUGGGCUGAGAACUGCUUUCACUUGACUCACUGACAUUUAAAGAGACAGCUCCUCUUUCAGAAUAGCAGCAGUGACCAGGUUUGGCUGCAAAGGAAGGAGCUUUGUUUAUAAUCUCCAUGCCACCUGGCUCCGCUGAUGAACCUUGGGGAGGUGAAAGGGUGAGAGAACCCCACCCACCCACCCAGGCUGGCCUGUUGUUCCAAGUCUCCAGAAGGGCCUCGCCUCUCCACUUCAUCCACGUGGAUCAGAAAACUUGGCUGGGGUUUCUCCUCCGCUGCUGUGCAGUAUCCAGUGCUUCUGGUAAGAUGAGAUAACGGGUGUUGUGUCUUUUCCUUGGGGGCAUGACAUUCUGCAUGGCUGUAUGUGCGGGGCAGGCUAGUUCCUAUUUAGCUAUUCAUGUGGCCCCUGUAAUGAUGGCAUCAGAGCACAUGGCUGGAGUUUGCUUUUUCUGCAUGGCACGUGAGUUGAGGGGAAGGGAAAUGAGCUCACUAAGCGAUCAUUUCCCACGAGAGCCACCAGCACCAAGGAUAAAACUUUUUCUGUUCUCUGUGAAAGAAAAGCCCCACUCCCUCCCUCCACAUCUCCGUCCUACUACCCAUGGAUCCCUUUCCUCUUUUCCAGCCCAAAGUGAUGGCCCCCCUUCCUCUGCUCUUUGUGACACAUGGAGGAUGGGUGACCCUUCCCUCUCCUCUCACUUCCAUUUAUAGUUCACUGUAAGUCCACUGCAUGUACUGUGUGUUGUUUACAUUUCUCUCUCUCGCCGAGCAGAAGAAGAUCAUGAUCAUGAUCUGUUGUAUCAUCCUGGCCAUCAUCCUGGCUUCCACCAUUGGGGGCAUCUUCGCCUGAGUGCCCAUCUCCUGCCCACCCCCACCACAGAUGGAUUUGCAGAUGGCCUUUCACCGUUCUUCCACUCUGCACCCUGGUGCCACCCGUCAAAUGUUCUUUCCCAUCUGGAUUUCUCACCAGCUCUACCUCCUCCUCUUUACGGAGAAGUCACAGGCCUGGCCAGUGGACCCUAUCUGUCAGAUAUUCACCAUUCAGAGCAUUCCUGGCUGGAGGGGCAGAGGAAGCCGGAAUAGAACAGGGAGGAUGGGCCGCAAAGACAAAACCAAACAAGACACCAUGGGGAUGAUUCUAGCUGACACGAAGGGAAGUUCAUCUUCCAAUGUAACCAUUUUCAGACUCCACGUUUAUUGGCUGUUUAAAGUGCUUCUAAAUAUCAACCUUUUAGUUCAACUCUGUUCUUAGUCCUAGUGGCUCCUUCUGCCCACUUGUGUGUGAAGAGUGACUAGCCAGCAGAGGACAUCCAUUCAAUGGAAUGUGUAUGCUCAGCACAAACUUAUUGAAGGGUGGGGAAUGGCACAGUCCUGCCUCUGUUGCUCUGGGAGACUCAGUUCUCCUCCUUGGUGGACAGGGAUUAAAGACCGCAUCUGACAUUGUAACUGUCAGUACAUCAAAAGCGUGAUCAGGCACUGAACUGUCAGAACAUCUUUCCCCAGAUGAGCAAUAUAGCUGUUUUCACUCUGAUUCCUGUGACCCCUAUUUCUCUGGCUCUUUCCCAGUCCACUCCUGCUGCUGAGGGUGGGAAUCAGAACAUGCUUGACCUGAAUCACUGACACUUGGAAGGCAGUUAAGCCCUUCACUCACUCAGCUAGGGUCUACCAGAUCAGCGGGUAGUAAUCGAUCCACCGGGGAGUGAUUUAUCACGUCUCAUCUAGACAUGAUAAAUUGAUCCCUGAACGCCUUCCCCGUCGACUCCAGAACACCAGGGCAAGAGGCAGAAGCGGAGUUGACGGGGGAGCUGCGGCAAUCAAUCCCGUGCUGUGAGGACGCAAGGUAAGUCUAUCUAAGAUACGUCGCCUUCAGCUACGCUAUUCUCGUAGCUGAAGUUGCGUAUCUUAGAUCGAUUUCCCCCCCGCCAGUCUAGACCAGCCCUUAAGUCACAAAAUAGACUGUAUUCCCUUGUUUAGCUGUGGGACAGUCUCAUUUAUCCUACAGAAAAAUCUUUCACCUGAAAGUUUGUCACUUAUUUUGAACCCCCAAACCGUGUCAACUUGAGCGUAUUUGUUGUUUGUUUUCCCCCUCUCCUCAGAUAAAUCAUUUCUGCAGUAGGAUGCUGUCACUCCAUACAUCUCCUGAUGCUUCUAUUCCUUUGGGUCCUUGUCUAUCCACAUGAGGAAAGCUCCAGGGUUGCUUUCCCCUCCAUUACUUGUACUAGUGAGAGAGUCUUCAGAAAGAGGGAGACCUCUAUGAAAUCUAAUGAUCCCUCCCCAGUUACACAGAGGGCAAAUGACAUGUUCCCCUCGAGGGUCAGCUCUAAGUGGAGCAGAGGAGACUCUGCCUCACUCAGUGCUUAAGACAACCCCCACCCUGAAUUUAUAUCAGCUGUUAUCUGUAUAGUUACUGUUCUAAAGGCACAAUCAUCUAUACAGAAGCCUCUUUCUGAAUAAAGAGUUCAAUUCAGUGACCA